rnacentral:rRNA from 1 species
GACGAACCGUGCGAACGUUAUUCGGAAUCACUGGGCUUAAAGGGCGCGUAGGCGGGCCGAAAAGUCAGGGGUGAAAUCCUCCAGCCCAACUGGAGAAGCGCCUUUGGUACUGUCGGCCUCGAGGGGUGCAGGGGCAUGCGGAAGCUCAGGGUGGAGCGGUGAAAUGCGUAGAUAUCCUGAGGAACACCGGUGGCGAAAGCGGCGUGCUGGACACCUUCUGACGCUGAGGCGCGAAAGCCAGGGGAGCGAACGGGG